rnacentral:rRNA from 1 species
UACGGGGGGGGCAAGCGUUGUUCGGAAUUACUGGGCGUAAAGGGCUCGUAGGCGGCCAACUAAGUCCGACGUGAAAUCCCCAGGCUCAACCUGGGAACUGCGUCCGAUACUGGAUGGCUUGAAUCCGGGAGAGGGAUGCAGAAUUCCAGGUGUAGCGGUGAAAUGCGUAGAUAUCUGGAGGAAUACCGGUGGCGAAGGCGGCAUCCUGGACCGGCAUUGACGCUGAGGAGCGAAAGCCAGGGGAGCAAACGGG